GACUGUGACCGGACCCCCAUUGACAUGACAAGGGACCCAACAGUCCACAUUCUUUUUUAGGAUGGAACUAGGGCUCCAACACAUGCUUAUCUCCUCCCUCUACCAAGAGGUAGGUAGUCCCACGGCUCCGUCCAAUUCCGUCUCUUCUCCACCAUUUCAUGUCUUCUUCUUGAGGCAUUGAGCAGGUGUUUCUGAUGGUGGACCCAUAAAUGCAGAGCAACCCAGUUUUUCUGAUCUUAGGAGGGGAGAGAAAAGGACCCACCACAUGAGUGAUUCCUGGAAAUGUCUUUUGUCCUGCCCUAGAGUUUUUUUAUUUUCUAUAAGAGAAAAGAACAUUGGUGGGGGGAAAUUGCUGUCACUUCAUGUACAGAUAUGUCCACAUGCACUCAUUUAAAAUCUCUUUAUUUAUUUAUUUAUAUUUUCUUGCAAUGCACUCAUUUGAACUGGA